UAUUGAUAAAAUUGUUUUAUAUAUAUUUGUUUUAAUUAAUUUUGAUUAAAUAAAUUUAAGUUAUUGUAGAAUAAAUUGAUUAAAUUAUUUUUACUAUAGUGAAUUAGUACUGUGAAGGAAAUUUAUAAAUAUAAGUUUAUAAUUAAUAAAAGGUAAUUUUAUUUAUUGUAUCUUGUGUAUCAGAGUAUAUUUAAAUAGAUUAUAAAGUUUUUUUUUCUCGAAUUUAAAAGAUUUAAUUGAAAAUAUUAUUUAUUGUUGCAUAAUUAUUAAUAAUUUUUAAUUGGUAAUGAAAUGUUAUUCGUUUUUAAGGAUAUCUAGUUUUUUAAUAAAUGAAUUUAAUUCAGAAGGUAUAAUUUAUUAAAUAAUUUAUUAUUUGGAUAUUUUAUAUUUUUAAUUUUAAGAGGGAUAAACUUUUUGAAAUAUAAUUAUAAUAAUAUUAAAUGAAAAGGAUUUUAUAAAUUUAGAAUUUGUUUAUGAUUAAAGGAUGUUAAAAUUUAAUUCUUUAUUUAAAUGAUUUUAGAUUUUUAUUUAAUUUUUAUAUUAAAAUGUUGAUUUUAAUUAAGAAAUUUUAGAAAAUAUGAUUUAAUUAGUAAAAUUAUAAUUUAUUUUGUUAAAUUAAUUGUUGUGUUAAUAUGAAGAAUUAAGCAAAAAAUUUUGCUCACCUGUUUAUUAAAAACAUGGUUUCUUGUAUUUAUUUAAGAGAUUUGACCUGCCCACUGAAUAAAUUUUGAAGGGCCGCAGUAUAUUGACUGUGCAAAGGUAGCAUAAUCAUUAGUCUUUUAAUUGAAGGCUGGUAUGAAUGGUUGGAUGAGGUGAAUUCUGUUUUAUAUUAAUUUGUAUUGAAUUUAGAUUUUAAGUAAAAAGACUUAAAUAAUAUUAAGGGACGAGAAGACCCUAUAGAGUUUAAUAAAUAUAUUAAUUAAUUAAGUUAAAAAUAUAAUUUUUGAUUAUUAAAAAAAUUUAUUUAGUUGGGGUGAUUAGAAGAUAAAUUUAACUCUUCUUUAUUUUUAAUAACAUAAUUAGUUAUUUGAUCCAUAUUUAAUGAUUAAAAGAUUAAAUUACCUUAGGGAUAACAGCAUAAUUCUUUUUGAGAGUUCAUAUCGAAAAAGGAGAUUGUGACCUCGAUGUUGGAUUAAGAUUAAUUUUGGGUGUAGAUGUUCAAUAAUUGGGUCUGUUCGACCUUUAAAAUCUUACAUGAUCUGAGUUUAAACCGGCGUGAGCCAGGUUGGUUUCUAUCUUUAAUUGAUUUAAAUAUUUUAGUACGAGAGGACCAAAUAUUUAAAAUAAUUUUGUUUUUAAGGAAUACUAUUAAUUGA
rnacentral:rRNA from 1 species